UACGGGGGGAGCAAGCGUUGUUCGGAUUACUGGGCGUAAAGGGCGCGUAGGCGGUCGUGACAAGUCACUUGUGAAAUCUCCGGGCUUAACUCGGAACGGUCAAGUGAUACUGUCGGACUAGAGUACAGAAGGGGCAACUGGAAUUCUCGGUGUAGCGGUGAAAUGGCGUAGAUAUCGAGAGGAACACCUGCGGCGAAGGCGGAUGU
rnacentral:rRNA from 1 species